CCCUGUUGAGCUUGACUCUAGUCUGGCUUUGUGAAAUGACUUAUGAGGUAUAGCCUAAGUGGGAGCGUGAGCGACCCUGUAAAACCACUACUCGUUUUGCCAUUUUACUUAUUCCGUGAGGUAGAGUCCAGGGUUUACCUGGUUCUAGAUUUAAGGUUGGGUUUUAUAUCCGACUGAUCUAAGCGGAAGACAUAGUCAGGUGGGGAGUUUGGCUGGGGCGGCAUACCUGUUAAACGAUAACGCAGGUGUCCUAUGGUGAGCUCAAAGAGAACAGAAAUCUCUUGUCGACCAAAAGGGGAAAAGCUCACUUGAUUUUGAUUUCCAGUACGAAUACAAACCGUGAAAGCGUGGCCUAUCGAUCCUUUAACUUUAAAAGUUUUAAGCUAGAGGUGUCAGAAAAGUUACCACAGGGAUAACUGGCUUGUGGCAGCCAAGCGUUCAUAGCGACGUUGCUUUUUGAUCCUUCGAUGUCGGCUCUUA
rnacentral:rRNA from 1 species